UCGGGGAGUUGCACGUAAACUUUGAUCCGAAGAUUUCCGAAUGAGGAAACUCACUUAGAGUACUUUCUAAGUCUCAUUAAGUGAAUACAUAGCUUAAUGAGUGGAACUCAGGGAACUGACACAUCUAAGUACCUGAAGGAAGAGAAAGAAAUUCGAUUCCGUAAGUAGCGGCGAGCGAACGCGGAUUAGCCCAAACCAAUAAAGUUUUCUUUAUUGGGGUUGCGGACAAAUCAAAACGAAAAGGGAUUGUAAUUGGAAAGGUUUGGAAAGACCCAACACAGAAGGUAAUAGGCCUGGAAGUUAAACGAGAUGGCGUUUGAUAUGAUCCAGUGGAACAAGGGAAAAGUGUAACCCUGUGGGAAGCAGGAGGGACCACCCUCCAAGGCUAAAUACUACCUAGUGACCGAUAGCGUAUAGUA
rnacentral:rRNA from 1 species